GAUGGACGCUGGCGGCGUGCCUAAUACAUGCAAGUAGAACGCUGAAGGAGGAGCUUGCUCUUCUGGAUGAGUUGCGAACGGGUGAGUAACGCGUAGGUAACCUGCCUGGUAGCGGGGGAUAACUAUUGGAAACGAUAGCUAAUACCGCAUGACAACAGUUAUUGCAUGAUAACUGUUUAAAAGGGGCAACUGCUCCACUACCAGAUGGACCUGCGUUGUAUUAGCUAGUUGGUGAGGUAACGGCUCACCAAGGCGACGAUACAUAGCCGACCUGAGAGGGUGAUCGGCCACACUGGGACUGAGACACGGCCCAGACUCCUACGGGAGGCAGCAGUAGGGAAUCUUCGGCAAUGGACGGAAGUCUGACCGAGCAACGCCGCGUGAGUGAAGAAGGUUUUCGGAUCGUAAAGCUCUGUUGUAAGAGAAGAACGAGUGUGAGAGUGGAAAGUUCACACUGUGACGGUAUCUUACCAGAAGGGGACGGCUAACUACGUG
rnacentral:rRNA from 1 species